rnacentral:misc_RNA from 1 species
CAGAGAACAUCGCCCGCGAGGGUGACUCUCCAACCCUAUGUUAAUUAUACCUUUGUUGCUUUGGCGAGCCGCUCCGGCCACCGGCUCACGCUGGUGAGUGCUUGCCAGAGGACCCUAAACUCUGUUUAUACAUGUCGUCUGAGUACUAUAUAAUAGUUA